GCAUACAAUAAGCGGAGGAAAAGAAACCAACAGGGAUUGCCCCAGUAACGGCGAAGUGAAGCGGCAACAGCUCAAAUUUGAAAUCUGGCUUCGGCCCGAGUUGUAAUUUGCAGAGGAAGCUUUAGGCGCGGCACCAUCUGAGUCCCCUGGAACGGGGCGCCAAAGAGGGUGAGAGCCCCGUAGAGAUGGACGCCUAGCCUGUGUAAAGCUCCUUCGACGAGUCGAGUAGUUUGGGAAUGCUGCUCAAAAUGGGAGGUAAAUUUCUUCUAAAGCUAAAUACCGGCCAGAGACCGAUAGCGCACAAGUAGAGUGAUCGAAAGAUGAAAAGCACUUUGAAAAGAGGGUUAAAUAGCACGUGAAAUUGUUGAAAGGGAAGCGCUUGUGACCAGACUUGCGCCGGGCAGAUCAUCCGGUGUUCUCACCGGUGCACUCUGCCCGGCUCAGGCCAGCAUCGGUUCUCGCGGGGGGAUAAAGGCGCCGGGAACGUAGCUCCUCCGGGAGUGUUAUAGCCCGGCGUGUAAUGCCCUCGCGGGGACCGAGGACCGCGCAUCUGCAAGGAUGCUGGCGUAAUGGUCAUCAGCGACCCGUCUUGAAACACGGACCAAGGAGUCAAGGUUUUGCGCGAGUGUUUGGGUGUAAAACCCGCACGCGUAAUGAAAGUGAACGUAGGUGAGAGCUUCGGCGCAUCAUCGACCGAUCCUGAUGUUUUCGGAUGGAUUUGAGUAGGAGCGUUAAGCCUUGGACCCGAAAGAUGGUGAACUAUGCUUGGAUAGGGUGAAGCCAGAGGAAACUCUGGUGGAGGCUCGCAGCGGUUCUGACGUGCAAAUCGAUCGUCAAAUCUGAGCAUGGGGGGCGAAAGACUAAUCGAACCAUCUAGUAGCUGGUACCGC
rnacentral:rRNA from 1 species